CUCGAGCAAGUAGUUAGUCCAUGCCAUUCCUUUCCACAGCUUUCUUGAACUUCCCUUCCCGGACUGCGGCCUGUAGCUCUCUCGCCCUCUUGAUCUCCCGUCGAUCUCCACUGGUAGCAGCUGGGAGAGCAGGGAAGAGGAGGGUCAAGAAAGCUGUGGGAAGAAAUGGCAUAACCAGGACUUUGAUUGAAUUCAGUUCAU